AACUAACGCUGGCGGCGUGCCUAACACAUGCAAGUCGUACGAGAAAGUCGGCUUCGGCUGAUGAGUAAAGUGGCGCACGGGUGAGUAACGCGUGGAUAAUCUGCCCUUGAGUGUGGAAUAACGUACCGAAAGGUGCGCUAAUACCGCAUAAUGCCUGGCAACACAAGUUGUCCGGCCAAAGAAGGCCUCUGUUUACAAGCUUUUGCUCAAGGAUGAGUCCGCGUACCAUUAGCUAGUUGGUGGGGUAACGGCCUACCAAGGCUACGAUGGUUAGCUGGUCUGAGAGGAUGAUCAGCCACACUGGAACUGAGACACGGCCCAGACUCCUACGGGAGGCAGCAGUGAGGAAUUUUCCGCAAUGGGCGCAAGCCUGACGGAGCGACGCCGCGUGAGGGAUGACAGCUUUCGGGUUGUAAACCUCUUUUAAUUAAGGAAAAGAUCUAUAUGCUAAUAUCAUGUAGUAUUUGAUGGUACUUAUUGAAUAAGCCCCGGCUUAACCG
rnacentral:rRNA from 1 species